CUGGCCAGGUAGAUGAAUGGACACUGAAAGACACAGCAGGAGCCAAAGACUCGAAAAGAGCAAGACUUGCCCACAUGUGAUUGUGAGGGGGUUCCUUUGUUGGGGGUUCUCCUCGGAGGCACCAUCUCAAGCUGUUUUUGUUCCAUUACUGCACCACGAAUAAAUUGCUUUAUGGAUAUCUGAGACUCUGCUAUUGGAAACCUGUGGUUGAACUGAAAAAAGAUGGGACAUAUUGCACUUGUGAACUUGCUACACCUGUUUUUGAUGACAAUGUACAAGACAUGCAAAAUCGUUCUAGCAUUUGGUGAUUUAAUGUAUGCCCAAAGCAUGACUCUGAGGCCUAAAGGAUUUGAGAAUAUGAUCUAAUAGCAUCAAUGUCAAUGAUACAUGAUAGGAGACUAAAUUGGUACAUUGAAAAAACAACAAAACCUGCUUGUAAGAAA